rnacentral:rRNA from 1 species
UACAGAGGGUGCGAGCGUUAAUCGGAAUUACUGGGCGUAAAGCGCGCGUAGGCGGCUUUGCAAGUCGGAUGUGAAAUCCCCGGGCUCAACCUGGGAACUGCAUUCGAGACUGCAUUGCUAGAGUAUGGGAGAGGGAAGUGGAAUUUCAGGUGUAGCGGUGAAAUGCGUAGAUAUCUGAAGGAACAUCAGUGGCGAAAGCGACUUCCUGGACCAAUACUGACGCUGAGGCGCGAAAGCGUGGGGAGCAAACAGG